CAAGAUGUAUUAUAAUUUAAUAAGAAGGUCUGUGGCACCUAAAAUCCUUAUUGGCAUCUUGC
rnacentral:tRNA from 1 species